GGAGAGGUGGCUGAGUGGUCUAUAGCGUUAGAUUGCUAAUCUAUUGUAGAUUUUUAAUCUACCGAGGGUUCGAAUCCCUCCUUCUCCU
rnacentral:tRNA from 1 species